GUGAUUAUACAUUGUGUUUGAUUGAAUACGUUGUGCAAGCCUUAUGCGUCCCCAAUGAAGCGUUCGCAAUGAAUAGUAGCAAUGGUAAAUGCAAGUCAUGAAGAUGAAAUCAGGACAAAUGGAAGUGAGAGGCUGGUAAAAUCCGAAUUGGACAAGCUUUGUUGGAGAAGGUCCCCGUUUUCUUUCAAAUUUAUGACAGUAGAAUAGAAAAAUUAUAUUAAAAAUUCAAAAAUAUUUCAUUUGCUUUUUUUAUAUCAAGAUUAAUGUAAUUAGAGAUCGUAAACAGAAUAUUUUAGUUAGGUCAACCGGAGGAUAAACUCACUUAAACAUGAGGUUUCAGAUUAAUGUGUAGGAGUGCUAACAUAAGUGCACUGAAGUUAAAAGUUAAGCUAAUUUUUUAUAUUUACUUCAUAAAUGUACAUAUCUUUUGAAGAAAACACCCGAAACAUACCCGAAUCUUCAUCGAUGUUUUUGAAAAUAAGUUGAAAAUAUUUGUAAUUGAAUUCUUUCAAAAAUAAGUGAAAAUUAAGCACUAUCGUUUUAUUUUUUUUUCAGUCAUAUAGUUUUGAAAAAUUUGACUUUUUAAUUUAUUUUUUGAUGUAGCGGCUAAAAAGCUAAAAAUCUGGACGAUUUGCAUGAUCAACAUCUUCAUUACAAAAUAGAAA
rnacentral:lncRNA from 1 species